rnacentral:rRNA from 1 species
CCUAGUGACCGAUAGUGCACCAGUACCGUGAGGGAAAGGUGAAAAGCACCCCGGAAGGGGAGUGAAAGAGAACCUGAAACCGUGUGCCUACAAGUAGUCAGAGCGCGUUCAUGCGUGAUGGCGUGCCUUUUGUAGAAUGAACCGGCGAGUGACGAUGGCGUGCGAGGUUAAGCCGAAGAGGCGGAGCCGCAGCGAAAGCGAGUCUGAACAGGGCGAAAAGUACGUCGUCGUCGACCCGAAACCAGGUGAUCUACCCAUGUCCAGGGUGAAGGCCGGGUAACACCGGCUGGAGGCCCGAACCCACGCACGUUGAAAAGUGCGGGGAUGAGGUGUGGGUAGGGGUGAAAUGCCAAUCGAACUUGGAGAUAGCUGGUUCUCCCCGAAAUAGCUUUAGGGCUAGCCUCGGGAUGGAGAGUG